rnacentral:rRNA from 1 species
CCUACGGGAGGCAGCAGUGGGGAAUAUUGGACAAUGGGGGCAACCCUGAUGCAGCGACGCCGCGUGAGUGAAGAAGUCUUUCGGUAUGUAAAGCUCUAUCAGCAGGGAAGAAAAUGACGGUAUCCGUCUUAGAAGCCCCGGCUAACUACGUGCCAGCAGCCGCGGUAAUACGUAGGGGGCAAGCGUUAUCCGGAUUUACUGGGUGUAAAGGGAGCGUAGACGGCGGCACAAGUCUGAAGUGAAAUGCCGGGGCUGAACCCCGGAACUGCUUUGGAAACUGUGCGGCUAGAGUACAGGAGAGGUAAGUGGAAUUCCUAGUGUAGCGGUGAAAUGCGUAGAUAUUAGGAGGAACACCAGUGGCGAAGGCGGCUUACUGGACUGUAACUGACGUUGAGGCGCGAAAGCGUGGGGAGCAAACAGGAUUAGAUACCCCUGUAGUC